rnacentral:snRNA from 1 species
AGAUGUGAGAGUGGUGUGUCUGUGAUAUCUCUCAGCCCACUGACCACCAGGGUUGAUUCAGCUGAUCUGGCUGACCAGGUAGGUGUCCCCUUCCUUCCUCUCUGCCCCACGUGUGUCCGUUGUGAAGCUCUGUCCUCUGUCAACAAGGACCCUUCUUUGGUCAAGGGUAUACCAGUACCUGCACUCUCCUGCUAGAACCUCCAAACAAGCUCUCAAAGAAUGAGCUUCUCUGGCUUUGUCUCCAGCCUGUGUUCGGUUGCAGGGGGACUGCUGCAGGCUUCCUCUCCUAGUUCUCCAGCACUAGGUCUGCAGUUCCUG